rnacentral:rRNA from 1 species
GACGCCGCGUGGAGGAUGACGGCCUUCGGGUUGUAAACUCCUGUCAUGAGGGAACAAAGCUUGCGGGUUAAUACCCCGCGAGUGUGAUGGUACCUCAAGAGGAAGUCACGGCUAACUCUGUGCCAGCAACUGCGGUGACUGAGCGGGCUGGCAAGGCGCAUA